rnacentral:rRNA from 1 species
UUUUACGGCCAUAACACCCUGAACACGCCCGAUCUCCUCUGAUCUUAGAAGCUGCUCAAGGCCGGGCCUGAUCAGUGCGUGAACGGGAGAAGGGCGCAUACUGGAGCCAGAGUGAAGC